GCUUAACACAUGCAAGUCGAACGCAACCUUCGGGUUGAGUGGCGGACGGGUGAGUAACGCGUGAGAAUCUGCCUUGGGGUCGGGGACAACCACUGGAAACGGUGGCUAAUACCGGAUAAGCCUUUGGGUAAAAGAUUUAUUGCCCCAAGAGGAGCUCGCGUCUGAUUAGCUAGUUGGUGAGGUAAAAGCUCACCAAGGCAGCGAUCAGUAGCUGGUCUGAGAGGACGAUCAGCCACACUGGGACUGAGACACGGCCCAGACUCCUACGGGAGGCAGCAGUGGGGAAUUUUCCGCAAUGGGCGAAAGCCUGACGGAGCAAGACCGCGUGAGGGAGGAAGGCUCUUGGGUUGUAAACCUCUUUUCUCAGGGAAGAAGCUCUGACGGUACCUGAGGAAUCAGCCUCGGCUAACUCCGUGCCAGCAGCCGCGGUAAUACGGAGGAGGCAAGCGUUAUCCGGAAUUAUUGGGCGUAAAGCGUCCGCAGGUGGCGAUUCAAGUCUGCUGUCAAAGCACGGGGCUUAACUCCGUUAAGGCAGUGGAAACUGAAUAGCUAGAGUGCCGUAGGGGUAGAGGGAAUUCCCGGUGUAGCGGUGAAAUGCGUAGAGAUCGGGAAGAACAUCGGUGGCGAAAGCGCUCUACUGGACGGCAACUGACACUCAGGGACGAAAGCUAGGGGAGCGAAUGGGAUUAGAUACCCCAGUAGUCCUAGCUGUAAACGAUGGAUACUAGGUGUAGCUUGUAUCGACCCGAGCUGUGCCGAAGCUAACGCGCUAAGUAUCCCGCCUGGGGAGUACGCACGCAAGUGUGAAACUCAAAGGAAUUGACGGGGGCCCGCACAAGCGAUGGAGUAUGUGGUUUAAUUCGAUGCAACGCGAAGAACCUUACCAGGGCUUGACAUGUCAGGAAUCCCGGUGAAAGCUGGGAGUGCCUUCGGGAGCCGGAACACAGGUGAUGCAUGGCGGUCGUCAGCUCGUGUCGUGAGAUGUUGGAUUAAGUCCCGCAACGAGCGCAACCCUCGUCUUUAGUCGCCAGCAUUAAGUUGGGCUACUCUAGAGAGACUGCCGGUGACAAACCGGAGGAAGGUGGGGAUGACGUCAAGUCAGCAUGCCCCUUACGCUUUGGGCGACACACGUACU
rnacentral:rRNA from 1 species